AUAGAUACCCUGGUAGUCCACGCCGUAAACGAUGGAUACUAGCUGUUGGAGGUAUCGACCCCUUCAGUAGCGAAGCUAACGCGUUAAGUAUCCCGCCUGUGGAGUACGGUCGCAAGACUAAAACAUAAAGGAAUUGACGGGGACCCGCACAAGCGGUGGAUCGUGUUCUUUAAUUCGAUGCUAAACGAAGAACCUUACCAGGGCUUGACAUCCCUUGAAUUAAUCCGAAAGGAUUGAGUGCUUUAUUGAACAAGGUGACAGGUGUUGCAUGGCCGUCGUCAGCUCGUGUCGUGAGAUGUUUGGUUAAGUCCAUCAACGAGCGCAACCCCUGCAAGUAGUUGUAUUUUUCUACUUGGACUGCCCCGGCAACGGGGAGGAAGGAGGGGAUGAUGUCAGGUCAGUAUUACCCUUACGUCCUGGGCUAGAAACACGAUACAAUGGCAAGUACAAUGCGCAGCGAAGCCGCGAGGUGAAGCAAAUCGCAUCAAAGCUUGUCCCAGUUCGGAUUGGAGGCUGAAACUCGCCUCUAUGAAGUCGG
rnacentral:rRNA from 1 species